CCUACGGGGGGCAGCAGUGGGGGAUAUUGGACAAUGGGGGAAACCCUGAUCCAGCGACGCCGCGUGAGUGAAGCAGUAUUUCGGUAUGUAAAGCUCUAUCAGCAGGGAAGAAAGAAAUGACGGUACCUGAGUAAGAAGCCCCGGCUAACUACGUGCCAGCAGCCGCGGUAAUACGUAGGGGGCAAGCGUUAUCCGGAAUUACUGGGUGUAAAGGGAGCGUAGACGGUAAUGCAAGUCUGGAGUGAAAGGCGGGGGCACAACCCCCGGACUGCUCUGGAAACUGUGUAACUGGAGUGCAGGAGAGGCAGGCGGAAUUCCUAGUGGAGCGGUGAAAUGCGUAGAUAUUAGGAGGAACACCAGGGGCGAAGGCGGCCUGCUGGACUGUAACUGACGUUGAGGCUCGAAAGCGUGGGGAGCAAACAGGAUUAGAUACCCGGGUAGUC
rnacentral:rRNA from 1 species